UCUGGACUCUGUCUAUAAAAUGGCAAUGGAUCCAGGUUGACCAUAAGUGCUAUUGAGGCAUACUAGAGUAGAUGAGCAUGGGGGUAAGGGGUCACCCUAUGUCCAUAUCACAGUAGAUCCCUGAACCAAUCCAGUCCCAGACACGUAGUUGUGGUAAACAUACUUAACAGUCGAUACAAUGUCAACAUGGGUUCUUGAUCCAAUGCACACAAACUAUGACUGCCGGCGGGAGAAACUAAGUGGGGCCGUCAGAGCCCUUCCAUUUCGAGCAAUCGUAAUCUAAAUCAAUGCUGCGUUCCCAGAGGAUUGCCAAGGCAUUGGACUGCUUAUUCUGGAUGGACUCCCACAGAAGACCUGCAAAAUGUCUACACACCACGACAUCUCACAAAGCCUUGAUCAACAAACCCACUUCAUAGCAAAGAGAAGAGAAGAGUAGCAAUGGGCCCAUGUUUCCGGAAAUCCUUACACAGGUGAUGUGGUGUAGCAACGCAGCGGCCUUUUGGAGACAGUUACAGCACCAGCUAGGUACAAUAUCUUGUGUGGCUGGGUCCAGGGUCUCCAAAAGGCUGUAUACAUUUGAGUUGGUAGUGAAUACAUGACAUCAAGAUUCACGUGGUAACCAGGAAGUGGAAACGGAAGUGGUACCUUUCACUCUUCCGCCUUUAACACGCCAAUGUAUUUUUGCUUCUUGUUCUCAUGACUGUAUGCUUGACUGACACAGAGGUCACAGUUACAAAGGAAAAAAAGUUCUUUCAGACAGAGACACAGCAAUGACUCCACAGGUUGUCACCUUUUGUCACCUUGCCACUUUGCACUCCUCAGGUCUCUGAAGAAAUAGGCAAAGAAGGACGCUACAGUGUCAGCUAAUGUGGCCGGUCUUGACUCCCAAAGGAAAUCUGAACAACUACUCCACAACAGAAUCCAGGUUUCUCUGGAAUACAGACAAUGUCUGGGAGCAAGCCUUUCAGUACCUUGAGGUUACGGACAGGGGGAAACAACCACAGGAUGUCCCUUCAGACAAACACUGCAAGAGUCAAUAUGCCACCAGCAAGGCUGCAGAGCUGCUUGGUUAGGACAAAGGGGCCAUAGAUGGAGUCACAGAGGAAGACAGCAAAAAUACUAUCUGUGCCAUGUGAGCAGCCGGAAUCGUGUGUGUCUUCUGUCCUUGUAAAAUAAAAUGCUCUGACUUUAUACACCUAGUUAACUAUUCCUCAUCCUAUUAAAGUGACAAGAUGUUGGGGGAAGGGCAAACUUCUCACGGAUGUGGCCUCUGCGUUUAUUUGCAGACGGUGUGGUUUCCGUGCCUAGCCAGAACUGUGGCUUCGUUGUUAUCCUUGUUUGAAGAUUAAGCAUAAGCUAGGAAGGUGUGCGGUGCCCAGCUGACAAUGGGUGGACCUUUGGUGGUUCACUUUAUGUGUUCCUUUGACAGGGUCAGCUGGAACAUUGUUACUGGCCAGUGUUCCCGCAGCAGUGCUUCUGAAAGGUGUCGGAAGUGGAAUCACCAGACUGAAGGAAGAUGGCUGAUAGAAGUGUAGUGUCACCUACCCACUGAAGCCCUGAAAGUAGAAGAACAAAGGAAGUGAGAAUCUCCCCUCUGUCAGCCAGGAUAUCGCUUCCUCCUUACAGAACUGUGCUCCAGUCUGAGGCAUGAAGGCUUUACCCAGGAGCCUUGCUCUAUGAGACCUGAACUGAGGUUUACACUGUUGGCUCCUGGUUCUGACAUCCUUAAACCCUGGAGAUGGUUGUGAACCCACACAGGCCUCUAAUUUGUGAAUGGACAAUACUGGAACUUUUCAACCUCUUUCCACCAUAGGAAACCAUGUGAUAGAUCUCCUUCGUUGAUUUUGUUUUUCUAACAUACAGCAUGCUUCAUAAAAAAAAAAACUGACAACAUCCAGAGUGAUUGAGAUGAAGUCUGCAACAAACUUUCCAAACAUAUGAUGAGAGUCAAUGAUAUAAAGAUUUAAAAUUUCACAAAUAUAUAUAAAUUAAGCAGCA